GAUGAACGCUGGCGGCGUGCCUAAUACAUGCAAGUCGAGCGAACGGACGAGAAGCUUGCUUCUCUGAUGUUAGCGGCGGACGGGUGAGUAACACGUGGAUAACCUACCUAUAAGACUGGGAUAACUUCGGGAAACCGGAGCUAAUACCGGAUAAUAUUUUGAACCGCAUGGUUCAAAAGUGAAAGACGGUCUUGCUGUCACUUAUAGAUGGAUCCGCGCUGCAUUAGCUAGUUGGUAAGGUAACGGCUUACCAAGGCAACGAUGCAUAGCCGACCUGAGAGGGUGAUCGGCCACACUGGAACUGAGACACGGUCCAGACUCCUACGGGAGGCAGCAGUAGGGAAUCUUCCGCAAUGGGCGAAAGCCUGACGGAGCAACGUCGCGUGAGUGAUGAAGGUCUUCGGAUCGUAAAACUCUGUUAUUAGGGAAGAACAUAUGUGUAAGUAACUGUGCACAUCUUGACGGUACCUAAUCAGAAAGCCACGGCUAACUACGUG
rnacentral:rRNA from 1 species